rnacentral:rRNA from 1 species
ACUCCUACGGGAGGCAGCAGUGGGGAAUUUUGGACAAUGGGGGCAACCCUGAUCCAGCCAUGCCGCGUGAGUGAAGAAGGCCUUCGGGUUGUAAAGCUCUUUCGGCCGGGAAGAAAUCGCAUGGGUUAAUACCCUGUGCGGAUGACGGUACCGGCAUAAGAAGCACCGGCUAACUACGUGCCAGCAGCCGCGGUAAUACGUAGGGUGCGAGCGUUAAUCGGAAUUACUGGGCGUAAAGCGUGCGCAGGCGGUUUUGUAAGACAGGCGUGAAAUCCCCGGGCUCAACCUGGGAACUGCGCUUGUGACUGCAAGGCUAGAGUACGGCAGAGGGGGGUGGAAUUCCACGUGUAGCAGUGAAAUGCGUAGAGAUGUGGAGGAACACCAAUGGCGAAGGCAGCCCCCUGGGUCGAUACUGACGCUCAUGCACGAAAGCGUGGGUAGCAAACAGGAUUAGAUACCCUGGUAGUC